GUGCCAGCCGCCGCGGUAAUACGGAGGGUGCGAGCGUUGUCCGGAAUCACUGGGCGUAAAGGGCGCGUAGGCGGCCCGCGCAAGCGUGCGGUGAAAGCCCGGGGCUCAACCCCGGGUCGGCCGUGCGGACUGCGGGGCUCGAGCACUGUAGGGGCAGAUGGAAUUCCGGGUGUAGCGGUGGAAUGCGUAGAGAUCCGGAAGAACACCGGUGGCGAAGGCGGUCUGCUGGGCAGUAGCUGACGCUGAGGCGCGACAGCGUGGGGAGCAAACAGGAUUAGAAACCCUGGUAGUCC
rnacentral:rRNA from 1 species